CACUGCCAUCCUCACAUGGCAUUAGCCACCAUCCAGGAGUCAGUAUAGAGAUACAGUACAGGCCACUUUUCUCAUUCAGCAAUCUUUAGGGCUAGUUGGAUGGCUUUCAAUACUGAAAAC